CGUGUAGGCGGCCAGGUAGGUCCGUUGUGAAAACUCGAGGCUCAACCUCGAGACGCCGGCGGAAACCCUUUGGCUAGAGUCCGGAAGAGGAGAGUGGAAUUCCUGGUGUAGCGGUGAAAUGCGCAGAUAUCAGGAAGAACACCCGUGGCGAAGGCGGCUCUCUGGGACGGCACUGACGCUGAGACGCGAAAGCGUGGGGAGCAAACA
rnacentral:rRNA from 1 species